rnacentral:rRNA from 1 species
UUGGUAUGGUUGUUGCUGGCCCUUUUGGGGGUAUGUGCACACUUGCCAUUCUCAUCUUUCCACCUGUGCACCUUUUGUAGACCUGGACAAACUUUCUGAGGCAACUCAGUUUGGAAGAUUGCUGUGCUGGCUGUAUCAGCCAGCUUUUUUUGUAUGUCUAGGCCUAUGUUUUUCAUAUACCCUAUAGAAUGUAACAGAAUGUAAUAGUGGGCCUUUGUGCCUAUAAACCUUAUACAACUUUCAGCAACGGAUCUCUUGGCUCUCGCAUCGAUGAAGAACGCAGCGAAAUGCGAUAAGUAAUGUGAAUUGCAGAAUUCAGUGAAUCAUCGAAUCUUUGAACGCACCUUGCGCUCCUUGGUAUUCCGAGGAGCAUGCCUGUUUGAGUGUCAUUAAAUUCUCAACCUUGUCAGCUUUUGCUGAUGAUGGAUUGGAUGUGGGGGUCUCUCUUGCUGGCUUCUUAGAGGUCAGCUCCCCUUAAAUGCAUUAGCUGGUGCCCCGUGUGGACCAUCUAUUGGUGUGAUAAUUAUCUACGCUAUGGAUGUCUGCAAUCAUAUGGGUUUUUGCACUGCUUCUAACUGUCUGUUAAUUCAGACAAUACAUGACAAUUUGACCUCAAAUCAGGUAGGACUACCCGCUGAACUUAAGCAUAUCAAUAAGCGGAGGAAAAGAAACUAACAAGGAUUCCCCUAGUAACUGCGAGUGAAGCGGGAAAAGCUCAAAUUUAAAAUCUGGCGGUCUCAGGCUGUCCGAG